CGCCCUUUCACGGCGGCAACACGGGUUCGAAUCCCGUACGGGACG
rfam:Acetobacter indonesiensis 5H-1 DNA, contig: Abin_055.